rnacentral:rRNA from 1 species
CCCUUAGAUGUCCUGGGCAGCACGCGUGCUACAAUGAUGCAUUCAACGAGUCUUGCCUUAACCGAAAGGUUCGGGUAAACUUUUGAAAUUGCAUCUUGUCGGGGCUUGAUCAUUGUAAUUUUUGAUCACAAACAAGGAAUUCCUAGUAGACGUAGUUCAUCAGACUGCAUCGAUUACGUCCCUGCCCUUUGUACACACCGCCCGUCGCUCCUACCGAUUGAAUGCUCAGGUGAGCCAUUCGGACUUUCAUCAUGCUGGUUUCCAGUUUUGAUGAAGGAAAGUCUUGCGAACCUUAUCAUUUAGAGGAAGGAGAAGUCGUAACA